GACAGAGGUGCCGAGCGUUAGGCGGAAUCACUGGGCUUAAAGCGUGUGUAGGUGGAUGCCUAAGUACCUUGUGAAAUCCCACGGCUUAACCGUGGAACUGCUUGGUAUACUGGGUGUCUUGAGCCAGCUAGGGGCUACCGGAACAAAUGGUGGAGCGGUGAAAUGCGUAGAUAUCAUUUGGAACGCCAAUGGUGAAAACAGGUAGCUGGGGCUGUGCUGACACUGAGACACGAAAGCCAGGGGAGCGAACGGGG
rnacentral:rRNA from 1 species